ACUCAAAGGAAUUGACGGGGACCCGCACAAGCGGUGGAGCAUGUGGUUUAAUUCGACGCAACGCGAAGAACCUUACCAGGGCUUGACAUCCCGCGCAAUCUUUGGAAACAAGGAGUUCCUGCCUUCGGGUAGGACGCGGAGACAGGUGGUGCAUGGUUGUCGUCAGCUCGUGUCGUGAGAUGUUGGGUUAAGUCCCGCAACGAGCGCAACCCCUACUUUCAGUUGCCAUCAUUCAGUUGGGCACUCUGGAGGAACUGCCGGUGACAAACCGGAGGAAGGUGGGGAUGACGUCAAAUCAUCAUGCCCUUUAUGUCCUGGGCUACACACGUGCUACAAUGGCCGGUACAGAGGGCUGCGAAGGAGCGAUCCGGAGCGAAUCCCAAAAAGCCGGUCUCAGUUCGGAUUGCAGUCUGCAACUCGACUGCAUGAAGUCGGAAUCGCUAGUAAUCGCGAGUCAGCAUAUCGCGGUGAAUACGUUCCCGGGUCUUGCACACACCGCCCGU
rnacentral:rRNA from 1 species